UAUGCCUGGGUUGUCUAUUCUGGUUCAAAGUUUAGUCAGCUUCGCCUGGGUCUUGCCUGCCUCCUGUUUUAUGAAACUUUGUUAGAUAUUAUGCCCUGAUUAUUUUCUUGCUUUUUUUUAUCUUCCCGUGUUUGUUCAGCAUGAUUGUCGUACCAUGCACUUGCAACCAUUGUCUCUCAGACAGUGAGACACUGGUAAUGUUUGAAAGGUACACUUUGCAUGAAUUAGGAAGAUUUUCCUACCACGUAGUUGAGGUAGCUGUUUAUUUCAGAAAGAAUGUGCCCUGGUUUAUGCACCCUUCUUUUUGACUAAAGAGUUAUGUGCUGUUUAUUUUUGUAGGCAUUAUUCAGAUGCACCCGGGUUGUUCUUCGUUCACCUUUGCUCCUUUUAUUAAUUCUUACGCUAGGCGGUUCCUUAUCCUUUAUUGGCGUCGCUUUCUGGGGCAAGUUCCUCUAAUCCUGGUUUGCUUGCUGUUACUUCUGGUCUUGCUUUGCUUUUUAUAUCCUACCUUCUGGUUUCUUUGUGUUUUUUUUUUUUUACUUUUCACUUAUUCGUUUUGCUUAUGUUUUGCUUUUUCUAGGCCUUUACAUGGACUCUUCUGACGAUGAAUCUCCUGCUGGGUUGCCGUGUCCACCUGCUGAUUCGCUCUGUGGUGAGGGUGGUCUGCCUGCCUCACGCCGCUGGACUCCCUCUUCCACCCAUUCAUUCUGACGGUUUCGAACUUUCAAUCAUAUUGGUACACCUGCUCCUUCGCUGUCUUCUGCUGGUCAUCCUAUCUAUGGUUGUCAUUUUGGGGCUGAAUCGUUUCUGGCUCUGCCUUCUGAUAACAUGCCUACUGCGCCGGUAUUGUCUUUAGGUAUAGGAUCUCGCAGUUUGCGUCCAGGUACGGAUUGUUCAUUUGUUUUGCUUUUUGCCUAUUCUUGCGAACCUCACUAUGCAGAGUUCAACGCCUCCAGUAUCUAUUCCACCGGUGAGGCCUGCAGCCUCUUCUCUCUUCCUCACCGUCUCUCAAUCAGUUCUUUUCGGUUUUCCUACGAAUCUAGGUUUAUCUUUUUCCUUGGAUUUAGCAUUCUAUUUCUUCUUUGGUUUGGUUUCACUCCCUUGCUUACUGUCUGAUCCUUGCUGUUUAUUAUAUUCCUCAUUGUUUACACUUAUUUGCUUACUUAGAUCUGUCCAAUACCCUGCACUUUACUGUACAUUUAUCAUGGCUACUGAUUUUCCAGAUUUCUAUAUGUUUAUCAUGGGUGUCGAUGUUUACUAAUCAUCCUAUGUUGCAGGAAAUUUGCAGUAGUAGCAAUGCAAGCAAUCUCGGUCAGAGAUAUCAAACCUCGAGGAUCUCCGAGGCGUGCUGUUGUGCGCAUCACACGGAUGUGGGACAAUAUGAACAAACAGCAUGAGCGCUAUGAGAUAGGCUUCAUGUUCGUUGAUCAUAUGGGAUAGAAGUUUCUCUACUCUCAGACCGGAUAGACCAAUUUAAAGACGAACUAAAGGAAGGCAUACUUUACAAGCUGUAGUCGUUUAUGAUCAUUGGCCCCCGGAAGAAUUAUAGAGCAGGAGAUCACUAUUAUAGGAUUCGGAUUUCACGGAACACAAAAGUACAAGCUGAAGGUUAGCGUAACACAUGUGGAACCAAACGCUGACAAUGUGCCCGUCACUGACCACUUGACGUUCCUCGGCGAGAGCAGCGAGGCUCUCGCAGGAAAAGAGGCAGAUCUUCUUGCUCCACUCACUAAAUGCCGUCCUUAUUAUGUCCCCGCUGCUAUUAGUGCCACAGUUGGCAAGAAGUGCACUAUCAUCGCCAAGGUAGACCAGGAGACCUACGAUGCUGAUCCUCGGAUAGUGUUUCUUACCGUCUCGAAGACCCAGCUAAUCACUAACACAGUGCCUCAGAUCUUCUACCGACACUAGCCUUGCAAUAGCUGAUAAGACGAUCGCUCCAGCCGAUGACCUCGAAGGCACACAGGGCCACCUCCCAGAAGGCUCCAGCUCACAGGCAACGCCUCCGAACGAUAUAACUGGACCAGCCGAUGAUGACGAAGCAGAGGACAUGGGUAAGGAAAUCAAACAUAAGAAGUGAAAGAACACCAACGACAAGAAAUAAGGACCUGCCAAGGCAUUAUUCAAAGGGAAGAAGUAGCAUUAGCCUUGCCAGGCUGUCAUCACAGGACAAGGCUAGGACAAGCGCAUCGUCAAGGAAAUCAAGCAAGUAAACCAACCACCCAGCUGCAAAUAAAGCUUCUCAUCAACCUGCCAGCUUAUGCUAUUAGGUCUAUCUUAACUAAUAGUAUCCUAGGUGAAUAGCCUUGCAGUCUCCUAAGAUUGCAUACCCAAAACUCAAUGUGUGAGUGUUUGCUCUUCAAAUCGCAAGUACGAUUAUCUAUGUACAGUUAUCCAAUAUGCAUACCUUUAAUUAUCCACUACUAUUUGUACCCUAAGACUUAAUAAAGCAGCACUGUUCUAACUAUUCUA